CGGGGCGUGGCGCAGCCUGGUAGCGCAACAGACUGGGGGUCUGUGGGUCGCAGGUUCAAAUCCUGUCGCCCCGACCA
rnacentral:tRNA from 1 species